AGUCAUAUGCUCAGCUCAAAGGCUAAGCCAUGCAUGUCUAAGUAUAAGGGCAUAGGCCCGAAACUGCGAACGGCUCAUUACAACGGUCGUAAUUUGCACGGCCCUAUCCUCUUCUUUAGUCGGAUAACACUGGGAACCUAGUGCUAAUACGUGCACCUAAUGGCUCGCAGGCUUCGUCCUGUGGGUCAGGCGCCUAUCGGCAUCCUUUCAUCGGGGUGUGGCAUUGAAGUGACCAGCGCGGGGGGGCAACUCCCCGCUUUUCGGGUGAAGUCAAGAUAGGUCGUAGACCGUCGCAAGACGGCAGGCCGUAUAAGCGACCGCCCCAUCAUACUUUCAACCGUAGUAUAGGGGACUACGGUGGUGGUGACGGGUAACGGAGGAUUUGGGUUCGACUCCGGAGAAUGAACAUGAGAUAUGUUUCAUACUUCUAAGGAAGGCAGCAGGCGCGCAAACUACCCAAUCGACAACGUCGGAGGUGGUGACGAGCAGUACUAAGGGUGCCGGUUUUACGGUCCCGUAGAAUGAACGAUGCACAGAUACUACGCUGAAUGCAAGAAGAGGGCAAGUCUGGUGCCAGCAGCCGCGGUAAUUCCAGCUCUUCGAGCAUAUAUUAAAGUUGUUGCGUUUAAAACGCCCGUAGUUGAGAUUGCUUGGUCAGGUGUCCAACGAGGGGGGGAGAGAGAGAGAAAAGAGAAAGGGUGCAAUAAGGGUGUGACAUUACGUAUACACCAGCGCUUCGAGAGAGGAGAAGGAAGGGGGGAAGGAGAGAAAGCGUGUGUGCACUUGUUUAACAGGUGCAUUCCAAAUUCUCAACAAACUUCCCUCUCUCUGGAACCUCUCUCUCAGGGUGCAAGUGUGUGCGUAGGAGAGCAUCCCUGCCUCCUCUUUCUUUCUUUCUUUCUCUAACCCUCUCUGGGUGCCUGCCUUGUCUUUUGUUACCAUAAAGAAAUUGGAGUGUCUAUAGCAGGUCGUGCCCUUGUGGCUCAGGCCCCUGUACAUUGCAGUAUGGAAUAACAGUUCAGACCUGCGUCUGUCUGCUGGUCACGCUUCUGGGUGCGAAGUCAGUCGGUCCACUGGGCGAGGGAGUGCCUGCUGGGUUAGGUUCGUGGGGGGGUUGGCGAGGCUGCAUGGGUGUCGAAGGGGCGGCGUGGGGUCUGCUGUACACCGGCAGGCCCUGCGUCCGUCCGCCUCAUUUGUGUACGCUUACCGUCUUCUCUGUCCGCGGCCGCAUUGGCCCAGUGGGCGCCCCCGUUCGGGCUGUUCGGAUAACGUCUCGGGAGUCAGGUGUGGCGUUGAUGGUAAAUAGGGGCGGUUUCCGGGGGCAUAAGUAUUGGGCCGGGAGAGGUAAAAUUUUAUGAUCGGUCCACGACUACCAGAGGCGAAAGCGCUUGCCAAGGACGCUUUCAUUGAUCAAGGACGAGAGCUGGGGGAGAGAAGGAGAUCAGACACCUCUGUAUUCCCAUGCUGUAAACGAUGCCGACUAGGUGUGGGGGGGCUGCUCGUCAAAGGCACCCCCCGUGCCCCGCGAGAAAUCUGUAAGUAUUCAGGUUACGGGGGGAGUAUGGUCGCAAGGCUGAAACUUAAAGGAAUUGACGGAAGGGCACCACAAUUGGCGUGGAGCCUGCGGCUUAAUUGGAUUCAACGCCGUUAACCUUACCAGGCCCUGACUCACACGGGAUUGACAGGAUGCAGUUCUUUCGUGAUUGUGAGAGUGGUGGUGCAUGGCCGUUCUUAGUUCGUGGUGUGAACUGUCUGCUUAAUUGCGAUAACGGACGAGACCUCUGCCUGGUGACUGAGUGCCGGGCUCUCUGCCUCUCCCCUCUUUGCACCAGCUAACAGAGGGAUGGCGGGGGUAGGUGCCCCAGAGGGAAGUAAAGGGGGAAAGGGGGGAACGGGAGAAACAAACGGUGCGUCGUGCAUUGCAUUAAGUCCUGUGUGCGUGCAUGCUGCAUCUCUCUCUCUCUCUUCCUGUCCUCCAGUGCUUCUUUCUGGUGUAAUCUGCCGCCGCCCUCCCCCCGGUGCACUCGAAAAGAGGAAGAGGCGGGUAACAAAAGAGCCCGCGCAACUCCUUCACAGGGACUAUUGCUCAUAAAGCGCCGGAAGCGUGAGGCAAUAACAGGUCAGUGAUGCCCUUAGAUGCCUUCUAUUGGGUUGCACGCGUGCUACAAUGGCGGGUGCAGUGUGUGGAGGCCAAGCCCGAGAGGGUGCGGCAAUCCUGCGAGGCCCCGUCGCGGUUGGGAUCGUCCCUUGCAAUUAUUGGUCGUGAACUAGGAAUGCCUCGUAAGCGCGUGUCAGUGAUCGCGCGCUGAAUGCGUCCCUGCCCUUUGUACACACCGCCCGUCGCUCCUACCGAUUGGAUGUUGCGGCGAGUUGUCCGGAGGACGCGCCCCGGCGCGGCCCGAAGUUCUGCGAGCCCCAGCAUCUAGAGGAAGGAGAAGUCGUAACAAGGUUUC
rnacentral:rRNA from 1 species